AGCCCAUCAAGCCCAGCUUGGUCUUGGGUCCCGGGGGAGACCCGGACCCGAAAUUUGACGGCGGGCCGGUAGGUUUCCAUCGAUAUGAACAUCGCAUCGAAGGGAUCUGUCGGCGCCCGUCCGCGCACAUUGAUUGAACAUCAAUCCA
rnacentral:misc_RNA from 1 species